UACAUAGGGCGCAAGCGUUAUCCGGAAUUAUUGGGCGUAAAGAGCUCGUAGGCGGUUUGUCGCGUCUGCCGUGAAAGUCCGGGGCUCAACUCCGGAUCUGCGGUGGGUACGGGCAGACUAGAGUGAUGUAGGGGAGACUGGAAUUCCUGGUGUAGCGGUGAAAUGCGCAGAUAUCAGGAGGAACACCGAUGGCGAAGGCAGGUCUCUGGGCAUUAACUGACGCUGAGGAGCGAAAGCAUGGGGAGCGAACAGG
rnacentral:rRNA from 1 species